UACGUAGGUGGCAAGCGUUAUCCGGAUUUACUGGGUGUAAAGGGCGUGUAGGCGGGACUGCAAGUCAGAUGUGAAAACCACGGGCUCAACCUGUGGCCUGCAUUUGAAACUGUAGUUCUUGAGUACUGGAGAGGCAGACGGAAUUCCUAGUGUAGCGGUGAAAUGCGUAGAGAUUAGGAAGAACACCAGUGGCGAAGGCGACUUACUGGACUGUAACUGACGCUGAGGCAUGAGAGCAUGGGGAGCAAACAGG
rnacentral:rRNA from 1 species